rnacentral:sRNA from 1 species
GUUCUCAGGUCACCCCUG